CCCUUAGAUGUUCUGGGCUGCACGCGUGCUACAAUGAAGCGUCCAACAAGAUGCGAAGCCGAAAGGCUCAGCGGAUCUUUGAAGUCGUUUCGUGACCGGGACAGUUGAUUGCAAUUAUUCGACUCGAACGAGGAAUUCCUUGUAAUCGCGAUUCAUCAUAUCGCGCUGAUUACGUCCCUGCCCUUUGUACACACCGCCCGUCGCUCCUACCGAUUGAGCGAUCCGGUGAAUUAUUUGGAGUGUCCACGCAAGCCAAUCCGUUUACGUGGGUGCGAAAUUUUGUAAACCUUAUCGCUUAGAGGAAGGAAAAGUCGUAACA
rnacentral:rRNA from 1 species